UACAGAGGCCUCGAGCGUUAGGCGGAAUCACUGGGCUUAAAGCGUGUGUAGGUGGAUGCCUAAGUACUUUGUGAAAUCCCACGGCUUAACCGUGGAAUUGCUUGGUAUACUGGGCGUCUUGAGCCACUCAGGGGCUACCGGAACGAACGGUGGAGCGGUGAAAUGCGUAGAUAUCGUUUGGAACGCCAAUGGUGAAAACAGGUAGCUGGGGGUGUGCUGACACUGAGACACGAAAGCCAGGGGAGAGAACG
rnacentral:rRNA from 1 species